GUCCACGCCGUAAACGAUGGAUGCUAGCCGUCGGAUAGCUUGCUAUUCGGUGGCGCAGCUAACGCAUUAAGCAUCCCGCCUGGGGAGUACGGCCGCAAGGUUAAAACUCAAAGGAAUUGACGGGGGCCCCGCACAAGCGGUGGAGCAUGUGGUUUAAUUCGACGCAACGCGAAGAACCUUACCAGCUCUUGACAUUCACUGAUCGCCCGGAGAGAUCCGGGAGUUCCAGCAAUGGACAGUGGGACAGGUGCUGCAUGGCUGUCGU
rnacentral:rRNA from 1 species